GUGCCACGUUUCAUAUUAAACGAAAUGUCAUUUUAGAGUCUGGGUGCCUUCGGGAACACGGACACAGGUGGUGCAUAGCUGUCAUCAGCUCGUGCCGUAAGGUGUUGGGUUAAGUCCCGCAACGAGCGCAACCCUGUUUAGUUCUCACUCAUCUUCAACUAAGUCAUUACUCACAUGUGGUAAUUGCCCCCCAUUCCCCUUUGGUGCCACGUUUCAUAUUAAACGAAAUGUCAUUUUAGAGUCUGGGUGCCUUCGGGAACACGGACACAGGUGGUGCAUAGCUGUCGUCAGCUCGUGCCGUAAGGUGUUGGGUUAAGUCCCGCAACGAGCGCAACCCUGUUUAGUUCUCACUCAUCUUCAACUAAGUCAUUACUCACAUGUGGUAAUUGCCCCCCAU